UGCCAGCCGCCGCGGUAACACGGGGGGCGCAAGCGUUAUUCGGAAUUAUUGGGCGUAAAGCGAGUGUAGGCGGUUUGACCAGUCGGAUGUGAAAUCCCAGGGCCCAACCCUGGAACUGCAUCCGAUACUGUCAGGCUAGAAUUCCGGAGAGGGUGGCGGAAUUCCCGGUGUAGGGGUGAAAUCCGUAGAUAUCGGGAGGAACACCAGUGGCGAAGGCGGCCACCUGGACGGUAAUUGACGCUGAGACUCGAAAGCGUGGGUAGCAAACAGGAUUAGAUA
rnacentral:rRNA from 1 species